UUAAAAGAGUGAAGUGUGCUGGAGUUGGGAAAACUCAGUGUUGGUUGGAGGUGAAGUCACCAGCAUUGCGUUUCUGCACCAGUCACAACUGAUAAGUUCAAAACCACAUCAGGAAACCUAUAACAAGGUGCUUCUGGGAUGUCAUCCAUUCUCUGCA
rnacentral:lncRNA from 12 species